rnacentral:rRNA from 1 species
UACGUAGGUGGCAAGCGUUGUCCGGAAUUAUUGGGCGUAAAGCGCGCGCAGGCGGUCCUUUAAGUCUGAUGUGAAAGCCCACGGCUCAACCGUGGAGGGUCAUUGGAAGCCGGGGGACUUGAGUGCAGGAGAGAAGAGUGGAAUUCCACGUGUAGCGGUGAAAUGCGUAGAGAUGUGGAGGAACACCAGUGGCGAAGGCGACUCUUUGGCCUGUAACUGACGCUGAGGCGCGAAAGCGUGGGGAGCGAACAGG